GAUGAACGCUGGCGGCGUGCUUAACACAUGCCAGUCGAACGAGAAGUGAAGACGGAAACCUUCGGGCGGAAGGCUUUAUUUCGAGUGGCGGACGGGUGAGUAACGCGUGGGUAACCUGCCUCAUACAGGGGGAUGACAGUUGGAAACGACUGUUAAUACCGCAUAAGACCACAGCACCGCAUGGUGCGGGGGUAAAAACUCCGGUGGUAUGAGAUGGACCCGCGUUCGAUUAGCCAGUUGGCGGGGUAACGGCCCACCAAAGCGACGAUCGAUAGCCGAUCUGAGAGGAUGACCGGCCACAUUUGGGCUGAGACACGGCCCAAACUCCUACGGGAGGCAGCAGUGGGGAAUAUUGCACAAUGGGGGAAACCCUGAUGCAGCGACGCCGCGUGAGUGAAGAAGUAUGUCGGUAUGUAAAGCUCUAUCAGCAGGGAAGAAAGUGACGGUACCUGAGUAAGAAGCCCCGGCUAACUACGUG
rnacentral:rRNA from 1 species